GACGAACGCUGGCGGCGUGCUUAACACAUGCAAGUCGAACGGCAAGGCCUGCUUUCCCUUGUGGUUUGCGGGGACUCGAGUGGCGAACGGGGGAGUAACACGGGAGUUAUCUUCCCCUAACUUGGGUAUAAGCCUGGGAAACUGGGUCUAAUUCCCGAUAGGACGGCAGGGUGCAGCCUGUCUUGGAAAACGAUUCGAUAGUGGUUGCCGAUGUGCUCGCGGCCUAUUAGCUGGUUGAUGGGGUAAUGGCCUACCAAGGCGGCGACGGGUAGUCAGAGUGAGAGGGUGGACGGUCACAUUGGGACACAGACCCGACCCAGACGCGUGGGGGAGGCAGCAGUGGGGAAUAUAGGAGAAUGAGCGGAAGCCUGAUGCAGCGAGGCGGCGUGGGAGAUGACCGCCUUGGGGAGGUAAACUCCUUUCGACGGAGAGGAAGCCACUUGGUUGGAAGGGUGGUGACGGUAGUGGUAGAAGAAGCACCGGCUAACUACGUG
rnacentral:rRNA from 1 species